rnacentral:rRNA from 1 species
GGAUUCCCCUAGUAACGGCGAGUGAAGCGGGAUGAGCUCAAAUUUGUAAUCUGGCGGUCUCGCGGCCGUCCGAGUUGUAAUCUGGAGAAGCGUUUUCGGCGCCGGUCCGCGUACAAGUCCCCUGGAACGGGGCGUCGCAGAGGGUGAGAAUCCCGUCUUUGACGCGGUCCGCCGGCGCCGUGCGAUGCGCUCUCGAAGAGUCGAGUUGUUUGGGAAUGCAGCUCAAAAUGGGUGGUAAAUUCCAUCUAAAGCUAAAUACUGGCGAAAGACCGAUAGCGAACAAGUACCGUGAGGGAAAGAUGAAAAGCACUUUGGAAAGAGAGUCAAACAGUACGUGAAAUUGUUGAAAGGGAAACGCUUGAAGUCAGUCGCGUCUCUCGGGACUCAGCCGGGUUGGUUCUCGGUGUAUUUCCCGAGUCUGGACGGGCCAGCAUCGGUUUCGACCGUCGUAAAAAGGUGUGAGGAACGUGGCACCCUUCUGGGUGUGUUAUAGCCUCUCGUCGUAUGCGACGGACGGGACCGAGGAACGCAGCGCGCCCCCCUUCGAGGGGGCCGGGGUUCGCCCACGUAACGCGCUUAGGAUGCUGGCGUAAUGGCUUUAAGCGACCCGUCUNAAAAACACGGAAA